UGGGGAAUAUUGCACAAUGGGCGCAAGCCUGAUGCAGCGACGCCGCGUGAGGGAUGACGGCCUUCGGGUUGUAAACCUCUUUCGCCAGGGACGAAGCGCAAGUGACGGUACCUGGAGAAGAAGCACCGGCCAACUACGUGCCAGCAGCCGCGGUAAUACGUAGGGUGCGAGCGUUGUCCGGAAUUACUGGGCGUAAAGAGCUCGUAGGUGGUUUGUCGCGUUGUUCGUGAAAACUCACAGCUUAACUGUGGGCGUGCGGGCGAUACGGGCAGACUGGAGUACUGCAGGGGAGACUGGAAUUCCUGGUGUAGCGGUGGAAUGCGCAGAUAUCAGGAGGAACACCGGUGGCGAAGGCGGGUCUCUGGGCAGUAACUGACGCUGAGGAGCGAAAGCGUGGGGAGCGAACA
rnacentral:rRNA from 1 species